rnacentral:rRNA from 1 species
GAUGAACGCUGGCGGCGUGCCUAAUACAUGCAAGUCGAGCGAACAGACGAGGAGCUUGCUCCUCUGACGUUAGCGGCGGACGGGUGAGUAACACGUGGAUAACCUACCUAUAAGACUGGGAUAACUUCGGGAAACAGGAGCUAAUAAUGGAUAAUAUAUUGAACCGCAUGGUUCAAUAGUGAAAGACGGCUUUGCUGUCACUUAUAGAUGGAUCCGCGCCGCAUUAGCUAGUUGGUAAGGUAACGGCUUACCAAGGCGACGAUGCGUAGCCGACCUGAGAGGGUGAUCAGCCACACUGGAACUGAGACACGGUCCAGACUCCUACGGGAGGCAGCAGUAGGGAAUCUUCCGCAAAGGGCGAAAGCCUGACGGAGCAACGCCGCGUGGGUGAUGAAGGUCUUCGGAUCGUAAAACUCUGUUAUUAGGGAAGAACAAAUGUGUAAGUAACUAUGCACGUCUUGACGGUACCUAAUCAGAAAGCCACGGCUAACUACGUG